rnacentral:miRNA from 1 species
UAAUUUUAAUAAAUUAUUCUAUUUUGAAAAUAUACUUUUAAAAUGUGUCUUAAACAAUGUUAUUAAUGUUAGAUUAAUAUAUAUUUUGUGCA